GAUUUCUGGCGAACCGUUGCGGCCCGUGCCCGUUUCGGGCGUGUGUGCCGUGUCGUGUUGUCAUCCUUCCAGAAAACUGCGUCUACCAUUCACUUGGCCGGACGUACGCGAUCUGGAUCGAUUACUUUUGAAAAAAUUAGAGUGUUUACAUUAGCAUGGAAUAAUAAUUUAGGACUUCGGUUCUAUUUUGUUGGUUUCUAGGACUGAAGUGAUGAUUGAUAGGGACAGUUGGGGGUGCUAGUAUUCCGCGGCCAGAGGUGAAAUUCUUGGAUUCGCGGAAGACUAACUACUGCGAAAGCAUU
rnacentral:rRNA from 1 species